UGUCUUGGGGGUAUGUUCUUUGACCCUCUAACUUUCCCGUAAUCAUGCUAGCAUCCCCAUUAAUGUAGAAGUGUUUAGAAACAUAUUCUAGUCUUAUUUAAAAUAAAAGUGACUCCAAAGUGAUCAUAGCUGUCUGGGAUUUCGUCGUCGAAAUCAUCGUCGGAAAAGGAGGACCAAUAUGCAGCAGAAUUGUGUUGGCUCAUCUUGAACAUUUAUUAGACUCAAAAUGAACAUACAAAAUAACAAAACGAACUCACGAUAUAGACAGUCUUCUCAGGCUCACAUACGCUAGACAAGAAACAAUCUCCCACAAAUGACAAACACAAACACACCCUAAUAUAUGGGACUCUCAAUCAAAGGCAAAGAGAAAACACCUGCCUUCAAUUGAGAGUCCCAACCCCAAUUAAUCAACCAUAGAAACACACUCACUAGACUCCACAUAGAAAUACAUAAACAUAGACCAUAAACCAAAAACCCGGAAAUACUAAAUCAAACGCCCUUUUACCAAAACACCACCCCGAACCACAUAAAACAAAUACCCUCUGCCACGUCCUGACCAAACUACAAUGACAAUUAACCCUUAUACUGGCCAGGACGUGACAAUAGCUGUGGUGGGAAAAUGUGCUUUAUGAUGUCAUAACAUGUGAACUCUGCAUGUGACAAAUAACUUUGCACCAUGAAGGAAGUAAGUGGGGAAAUACACACACAUUAUUAUUUAGGAGAUGGUCUAUACAUCCAGAAAGGUCAGCGAUGAAGAGGGAAAUUCCGAGGAGUUCAGAUUCUUUCAUUCCUUCUGGUCCGAGGCAGCAUUGGUAUCAAGUGUUCCUAACAGGUGGGGGCAUAGGGGGUAUUGGUCAUACUGGUGUUGUUGGCGAGGACGAAGCUUGGGCAUCGGGCAGAAUGUUGCCACCUGCAUGAGUGGAACAGAGGAGCCUCAGUUCUGGAGCAACAACACGACUCAAAAAACCCAAAGGAUAGGAGUCAUGAUUAUCAUCAUCCUAUACACACAGGGAGCUACCACAUGGUAUACACAUGCAGACUCUGAGACAUUAUGGAAAAUACAGUAUCUCCCUCUCUGUGCCACAGGCCCUUAAUGUGAAACCUGUCCUCUGAAAGAAAGUGAAAAAAAUAUAUGAAAAGUAGAAAGUAAAAGUUUCCCCUCAGCUGGCCUGUACUGUGACAGGACUCACAGUCACAGAACACAUUCAGGGAGAUAUAAAUAUUGAGCACUGAGGGAUUUUUGCUCCAUGAAUUAUUAAGUCCAGUGGCUUUAUGUAAGCUUCUGAAAGCUAUCUCCCCCAGCUUUACUGUUUCACUCUGCACCAAGCAGCGACUGGGGAACACGGCGGUAGAGAGACAGCACAUAAACUCAAACACACAUAGAUAUACAUUUGCUGUAGUAGACAGACUGGCAGACAGACAGACAGACAGACAGACAGACAGACAGACAGACAGACAGACAGACAGACAGACAGACAGACAGACAGACAGACAGACAGACAGACAGACAGACAGACAGACAGACAGACAGACAGACAGACAGACAGACAGACAGACAGACAGACAGACAUUGUUUAGUUGAUUUUAAGGCUAACAAUAUUGUUAACAACUUUUACUUUAGUAGAAUCUUGCCAUUAUGAUUAAGAGAUGGGUGUUGUAAAGACAUCACCUGAAAACAAAUUGCAGAGGUUUAUUUUUUCCCAACACCAUGUCCUUUCCACUAACACGGUGUGGAUUUGGUAGCACUAAAUUAUUGAUGGCAUUACAUGACAUGGAUGGCUGAGUUCUCCUCUCAGCAACAUUAAACCUGCUCCUAAAAAUAGUUGUUUUCUCUGACUCCUCUUUGACAAAAAGAUAGGGACAGUAGCUUUCUGAAAAGGUAUUCAGGCAUUUGUGUCCGGUGUGUGUGUGUGUGCCUGUUUCUUUGCGCAUGUCUGUGUGUUUGUGUCUUUGUGCAUAUGCAUGUGUGUGUUAGUGUGUGUGUACAUA
rnacentral:lncRNA from 8 species